UACGGAGGGAGCUAGCGUUGUUCGGAAUUACUGGGCGUAAAGCGCACGUAGGCGGCUUUGUAAGUUAGAGGUGAAAGCCCGGGGCUCAACCCCGGAAUUGCCUUUAAGACUGCAUCGCUUGAAUCCGGGAGAGGUGAGUGGAAUUCCGAGUGUAGAGGUGAAAUUCGUAGAUAUUCGGAAGAACACCAGUGGCGAAGGCGGCUCACUGGACCGGUAUUGACGCUGAGGUGCGAAGCGUGGGGAGCAAACAG
rnacentral:rRNA from 1 species